rfam:Marchantia polymorpha subsp. polymorpha scaffold3524, whole genome shotgun sequence.
UGCAGCACUAUGAGGAAAAUCUUAAUGUAUUUUCGAGGACACGUCCAAUGAAUCGAAAUACCUCCUACUCAUUCUGAGUGCUGC